GUGGUGGGAGGCUGAGGGAAACGAGGGCGGACGCGGGAAUCGCCUUCCCCCCCGCCCCAGUCCGGUUCGCGGAGGUGCUUGUGACCCGACGGAGACGCCGUAGAAGCAGCUGCGGGCGUACGGGUCGCCGGGAGAAGGGCCCCGGGACCGCCCAGGCGCAGGUUAUUUCCGCAGGCCUUAGGAAGCCGGCUCCCCCAUGCAGUCCACCUGGGAAGGCGGCCUUCCUUCCUUCCUUCCUUCCUACCCGGCCCCCCUAAAAGGCACUUCCCUCCCGUCCGCCCGGGGGUCAUUCCAGGAAGCCUCCGCCUGCUGCUGAGCUAAAGUUCCCUGUUGCCCAAGAUACUGGCUGCUAGGUGGUUGUACGCGGGACCUCCAUCAGCGGCGUGACAGGCGAACCUCAGUUUUUUAAGUCGUUCCACGCUUAACGUUGAUUCUCCCGGCUCUCCCAUAGUGACGUCAUGGCCAAGAGGCGUUUCCUGAGCUCGUCUUGACAAGCCCCUCUUGAGGGUCCCAAACAAUGUGAACUUGGCCGGGGCUUUCCUUGGUCACUAAAGGCCUUCCAUACGUACAUUAGCUCUCAUUGUCACUGAGCCCCAGGACUCAAGAGAAAGAAGGGAUAAGGGUGUAUGUAGCCCACUUGGUGGCAUGAUUGCCCUACACGUGCAAAGGGUCUAGGUUCAAUCCCCAAGAGACAGACAAAAGGCUUUAUGAUACGUAAUAUCUAUUACAUAGUAUAUAGGAUGUAUUAAUUAUUCUAUGGCCCAAUACAGGCAAAUAAUACAGAUGCCAACAAGGACCAAAUGCAGCUAGACACUGCUUGACUCAAUCUGGAGUGGGUGCUGUGAGCUGAGGGUAUGGUGAUUCCUGGGUAGAAAUGCAAAGUCUGCAAACAGCAGGACAAGAACCUUAAGAAAGAAACAGAGACAACAUUACUUCCUUGGAAGUGACACUGUUGGUCUCUAUGAAAACUCGAAAGUUGUGUAGAAAAGGAAGAGGAGAAGGAAGAAAAGAGGAAGAAACUGCGGAUGCCUAUCUCCUCCACACCACUUCUAAUCUAGGGUUUCUUUGAGGCAAAUAUCUGGCUCACCUUCCACAUUUGCAAUAGUACCUCUGCUUUUAAUAUAGAAUCCAUUGCAAGGUAGGCUUGGUGGUGCUCAGUGAGCAAAGGACUACAGAUGGGGUAACUGAGAGAAGCCAUAAACAGCAGCACUGGAUACAGCCAGAGAACACCAACACUUCAGACAUGCAAACAGUCUUCCUUUACCUUUUUCUUCUUUUCCUUUCUCUUUUGGUUUUUUGGAUCUUCUGGUAUGCUUUUUUUGAAACAAUACCAUGAUUUAAAAGGAAUAAUGUAAAGGGACUGGGGAACAUAGCUCAGUGGUAGGGCAGCUGCUCAGCAGACAAGGCCCUGGGCUUGAUUCCCCAGCACAACAAGAAUGAUAACAGACAUAGUCAUCUCUCCCAACUUCAGGGACCACGUGCCACUCCUUUCAGUCAUUUUGCAAUACGGCAGAGAACCGGUUUUUCAGUUUUGUCUUUCCAGCUAUCCCAUCACUGGCGUCAUCAGCAAAGUAAUAAUGGGAGGCUUGUGAUCCAUGGCCUCUUGUCUGGAAUUUUGAUGAGCUGCUUCACAUGGUGCUGUUAUGAAAGAUUAUUUAACAUGACUGGAGAUGUGAUUUGACACACUCAACUCCUGAUGCACUGGAGUUCCUAUUUUAAAUUUGAAAGGGCAAUAAAAUGUUAAAAUCACUAUAUUGCAGCUCAAUGUUACUAACAUAGAAUGCUACCAAAGGGGUAUAUUAUAUUAUGGAUCAGUACAUUUCUUCACAUAAGGCAAAGCAAGGUAUGUGUGGGCCCUUUUCAGAUAAAAUAUAAUAAGAUGCAGGUAAGAGCUAUGAGCCCUUUGUAACUAAGUGAAUGAAUGUAUGUGAGACAUUGCAGGUAAAGAGGACCAGA